rnacentral:rRNA from 1 species
UACGUGGGGGGCAAGCGUUGUUCGGAAUUACUGGGCGUAAAGGGCGCGUAGGUGGCCAAGUAAGUCAGACGUGAAAUCCCUCGGCUUAACCGGGGAACUGCGUCUGAUACUGGAUGGCUUGAGUUUGGGAGAGGGACGCGGAAUUCCAGGUGUAGCGGUGAAAUGCGUAGAUAUCUGGAGGAACACCGGUGGCGAAGGCGGCGUCCUGGACCAACACUGACACUGAUGAGCGAAAGCCAGGGGAGCAAACGGG